CUAGAGUGGGCAGGAAGGAGCAGGAAGUGUCCCCGAUUUGUUUUAUUUAACAAUCACCCUGGAUAAUGGAUGGGGCUGAGCCAUGCUUCAAUGAGGCCCCCUGCAGACAUUACAGCUGGAGCCCUCACAAGAACCUGAAAAUUACACCCUUUGCAAACCAUACUUCUGUGGAGCAGGCACUGAAAGACGGGAAUCCAACAGGAGCGAAAUCCUAGUCCCAUCAAAGCCAACGGCACAAUCCCCACUGAUGUCAAAGGAUCCAGAAUUUCACCCCAGCUGUAUUAAAAUCAGCCGUGUACAGUUACACAGCAAGGAAAUAUUUGGGGUGUGGGACUGUGCCAGAUUACACCAGCUCAGGGAUCUGGUGCUUGUUCCCUACAUUUCUCUCUCCUUAGACUGUAAACAACUUGGGGCAGGGACCAUUCCUUCUUGGAUGCGUGGAAAUCACACUGCAAACAAAUGAUAAAUAAUAAUUAAAAGACUCCUGCUUCUCAGUUAUUCCUUGGUUUGUUUACACCCCCUUUGCGGUCGCCGUGGGUGCAAACACCGGAUCAGUAAUUGCAUCAGGUGGAAGGCAGUUUGGAGACUGGAAGUGGGAGCCUAUGGUGGGGUUGAGGAUCAGGUUGGAGUUUGUGUGUGGGCCUAGGAGGUUGUACAGUACUAGGAUCAGGAGUAAGCAGCAGUGGGAUUGGGAAGUGGGGUCUAGGACUGACAUGUGCAGUGUGUGGGAGGUAGAGUAUGGGAAUGUUCAAGAGAAGUUCUGAGGUGGUGUUUACUGUAUUUUGCCUGAACCAAGUUAGCAUGGAAUCCAGCUAUCCUAAAAAGACCCUGUAGAAUAGCAUUAGGGGGUCUAUAAAGUUUUUAUUGAUAAAAGUUUGGAUGUGCGUAUUGCUCUGCAAAAGUGGGGAACCCAGGUUUCUUAUGACCUCUAGAAAGGUUUUUUUUUUUUUUGUUGAGGAUGGCGUGAAAUGUAUCCAAAUUUCACAAAAACAUCUCAUUCUGAAUUUAAAGGGAAAAUUGAUGCAAAUCCUAGGUGCUUCUAACUUAAUGGAAUUUCCUGCCAUGCCUCUAGGUUAAAAAUAAAUAAGAAGCAUGUAGCUGCUCUGAAUUCACAUUUUACUCCUCCAAAGCCAAUUGGAAAUCAAACCUCCAGCAUCUUGACUGCUGUGCUAAAGGUAGAACCCAUGAUGACUGAGAUUCAGCCAACCAAGCUAUUAAAUAUUAGCUCUAUAUUCAAGGACAUCUCAAAGAAUCCCAAGGGUCUUCCCAACUCCCCAUGUGCUGCACCACUGAAAUGCAGCUACUUCUGGGCCAGAAAACAGCAACCACCCUGCUGCACCAACACUGUUUGCUGAAACCUGGAUUGUCCCUCCAGAUGCAGAAGGUGAGAGAAGAAGCCAAGGUCAGCCAGGCCAGAUAAGGCACCAUCAGCAUUGUUGCCAUCUUGUUAAUGGGGUACCAAGAGUACAUGGUGCCAAGCACCAGGCCA